AGUGAACGCUGGCGGUAGGCCUAACACAUGCAAGUCGAACGGCAGCACAGUAAGAGCUUGCUCUUACGGGUGGCGAGUGGCGGACGGGUGAGGAAUACAUCGGAAUCUACUUUUUCGUGGGGGAUAACGUAGGGAAACUUACGCUAAUACCGCAUACGACCUACGGGUGAAAGCAGGGGAUCUUCGGACCUUGCGCGAUUGAAUGAGCCGAUGUCGGAUUAGCUAGUUGGCGGGGUAAAGGCCCACCAAGGCGACGAUCCGUAGCUGGUCUGAGAGGAUGAUCAGCCACACUGGAACUGAGACACGGUCCAGACUCCUACGGGAGGCAGCAGUGGGGAAUAUUGGACAAUGGGCGCAAGCCUGAUCCAGCCAUACCGCGUGGGUGAAGAAGGCCUUCGGGUCGUAAAGCCCUUUUGUUGGGAAAGAAAAGCAGUAGGUUAAUCCCUCGCCGUUCUGACGGUACCCAAAGAAUAAGCACCGGCUAACUUCGUG
rnacentral:rRNA from 1 species